CAACAGAAUAUGGACGUGAUUCCUAGAAUUAGAACUUGAAUGGGUCAGACUUGAAUACAUGCAAAGUCAUGUAGCAAUAUUAAAGGUGUUGCACUUCAGGAAAAGGGGAAGCGUAUUUGUUGGAAGAUGGAUAAAGAAAAAUUGGAGCAUGCACUAGACUUCUUUAAAUCCUGCUUUUUUAUCAGGUAACAUCAUUGAGUACAAAAGAAAUGUACCUUCACAGCAGACAACUUAUAACCUUUCGACAAGAAAUUGGGACUGCCUGCCAUUCAAGCAUUGUACAUAUAUGAAUUUACCAGUCCUGUUGUAAAGAAACUUAUUUCAUCAUCUUCCAAGGGCCAUGCUAUUUAGGAUUUUAACUACUUGUCCUGCAUCACAAGCUUAAAAAGACUUCACAAUCUGGCUGCAGAUGGAACUGCAUGGUUUGAAAUCCUCAUAGGAAUUCUGAGAAGCAUGGAGGCCUAUUAACCAGAUAAUGAGAUUGUUAUGAGAUUGAUCACUGUUCGUUAUCUUCACCUUGCAUAGCUUGAGGAGUACCAGGAAAAUUUACUUGCAGCAAAAUUGUACAUAAAGAGAGACUCACUCAAGCAUGAAUGUAGAAUAAUUAUAAAGAUACAGGAGAGAGAGAGAGAGAGAGAGAGAGAGAGAGAGAGAGAGAGAGAGAGAGAGAGAGAGAGAGAGAGAGAGAGAGAAUUAUAUGGUGAUAUAAUUAAACUCAUUGUCUUCAAUGAGUCUGUCAUGUCAGUAGAGAAUCAUGAUUCAUAUGGUGAUAUUUUUCAAUUAUAUACUCGUUUCAGUACAAUGGCAUUGUACAAAUAAAUAUUUUAAGUGUUGUUAGGGAAAGUGGUUGCUAUGGUGAUAUGUGUAAACAUAUUGUCUUCCAUGGGUCCGACAUGUCAGUAAAUAAUUACAUGUUGAUAUAUUUGUAUUAUAUUCUCAUUUGAAGGCAAUUGGAAUUGUACAGUUUGAAAUGUUUGCUUGUUGCUAGGGAAAAUUGGUUGCUAUGGUGGUAUAGUUAAACCUGAUGUCUUCAUUGGAUUCAACAUAUCAGUAGAAAAUCAUAUAUUGGUAUAUUUGCAUUAGGUUCUCAUUCCAGUGCAAUUUAAUCAUACAACUUUAAAUUUUAUGUGCGUUGCUAAGGAAAAUCAGUUGCUAUGGUGAUAUGGUUGAAGUCUGAUUUCUCCAAUUGGUCUGAAAUGUCAAUAAAUUAAAGUGAACCCAGAUGAUUUGUAUUUAUUUUCAGUUAAUGGAAUCAUUUUAAUGCAUAUAUUGCAGAUAUUCUUGUUUUAUUGUGUUGGAAAUUGGGCUGAAAGAGUUGCCUAGCAACCGUUACUAUGUGCAUUUCCGACUCUUUUGAUUUUUAUUUUGUGUACACUUAGUAUUGAUUGUUUAGAAAAUAUGUAUCAAAAUUUUACACUUUUCGGAUAACUAAAGUAAUAUGUAUUUAAAAUGCCUUAAAAUUGUCGAAUUUACAGAAAAUUGAUAAAUAUUAAAACAAUGCCUAUUCCAAAGUCCUCUACAGAUACCAUAUAAUAGUAUUUCAUUAGUAUUGUACAUUUUUAUAUUGAAGUAACCUUUACCUCGCCUAAAUAAAUUAUCAUUAUGUUUGAAAAA